rnacentral:tRNA from 1 species
CCUUCAUCUGCGUGUACGCCUCGGCGCUAUCGUCGCCGGACAGCUCCUGGAUCUGGUGCGAGCCCAGGUUGGAGGUC